UCAAUCUCCACCUUAGGCCCAUUUUCCUUUCACUUGUCUUCCCCUUCGUCAAUGACGAGAACACACAAGAGCCACCAUCUCUUUGUUGCUUCUUCUUGAACAUGAUGAAGAAAGUGACCUCAUUGAUUCCAAUUCAAAAUUCUACAGAAGAUGUUUUCUAUUUCUGGUUACCCUGUGUCCCUAUCCUUUGUUGAUUUACACCAUAGCCUUUCCCGAGAUCUCUGAACGAUGUGACCGCUACCGGAGUUAGUGCCGUGAUCCAAUUCGUCGGAAAUAACUUCAGCUCCAGUGAUUCCUUCUUGUUCCUCCCCAAAGUAUGAUCAUCAUUGCACAUACCACAGAGAUUCUCUCCGGUUUCUUAGACCAGGAAACUCCACCGGCAACGGCACCGUAUCCGCUUGUAAGCAUCUUCACAUAAGCCUUGCAUCAUCAUCUUCUUUGGUGAGAUCAUAGAAACCCAGAAAGCUCUCGACGGUGGCACUGUUGAUGAUCUCCGUCACCAAACUUACUAAGAAUUCAUCUAUGGUGAUCUCUUUGUGUUUGUGAAUUACCAAUGAAUCUUCUCGCCUGCCUUUACCAUCUCUUUGUUUCACACUGCGAAACAUACUCCGUCGCUCCUGGAUCCAAGCUUCAGCCUUCCGCAAAGUCCGACCACUGUUAUGUCUUUCCUGGUGGUUACUCUGCUCUGUUUCUCCUUUAUAACUCAGACUGCUCUACCAUGGAUGGCCAUUCCUUGGUAUCCACAGCUAACGUGUUCGUCCAUAAGAAAAUUUGAUUCACGUCACCGAGUUUACUGCAGAUAUUCUCGCUUUCUCUAAUGACAUACGACGCUGUUUCAACCUGUUUAAGAUGAUGACUUCCCUUCUGUUUCUUCGACGAUCCCGUUGUGCUUCUCAUGUACCAGAGAUACUCGUCUCCAUUCACCGUUACUGGUGUUUAAGACGUUCUCUCAUCAACCUUCCUCUUCCUUGUUUGGCGACCGUUGCGAUUCCUGAGAUACUCGUCUCCCUUCACCAUCCUUGAUGUUUAAGACGUUCUCUCAUGUAACACUUCAACAACUUUUCCUGUUCUCCAUCCGAUUUACUUGAUACUGAUUAGCAAUUUUCCUAUGUCUCAGCUGCUCCACCUUGAACUGAAACAUCCACCUCGUCUUAUCCGUCACAGGUAACCUUUCUUGCUCCCUACUGGCUUUUCAUUAUCGAUAAGAAAUAAUCAGAGUUUCUCACUCGUUAUUUCUUCUUGUGCGAGGUGUCUCGAUAAUGACGUUACCUGUGACGCUUUUCUCCUAUUAGUCGGCAGUGGGAAGUUCACAGCAAAGCUGCAACUUCUGAUCAGGUGCUUUUUCAUUCAACCUCUCUUCAUGAUU